rnacentral:rRNA from 1 species
AGUCGCCUAGCCAUGCGAGUCAUAUGUUCUUCGUGAACAUGGCGUACUGCUCAGUAACACGUGGAUAACCUGCCCUUGGGUCCGGCAUAACCCCGGGAAACUGGGGAUAAUUCCGGAUAACGCAUAUAUGCUGGAAUGCUUUCUGCGUAAAAUGGAUUCGUCUGCCCAAGGAUGGGUCUGCGGCCUAUCAGGUAGUAGUGGGUGUAAUGUACCUACUAGCCGACGACGGGUACGGGUUGUGAGAGCAAGAGCCCGGAGAUGGAUUCUGAGACAUGAAUCCAGGCCCUACGGGGCGCAGCAGGCGCGAAAACUUUACAAUGCGGGAAACCGUGAUAAGGGGACACCGAGUGCCAGCAUCAUAUGCUGGCUGUCCGGGUGUGUAAAAUACACCCGUUAGCAAGGGCCGGGCAAGACCGGUGCCAGCCGCCGCGGUAACACCGGCGGCCCGAGUGGUGAUCGUGAUUAUUGGGUCUAAAGGGUCCGUAGCCGGUUUGGUCAGUCCUCCGGGAAAUCUGAUAGCUCAACUAUUAGGCUUUCGGGGGAUACUGCCAGGCUUGGAACCGGGAGAGGUAAGAGGUACUACAGGGGUAGGAGUGAAAUCUUGUAAUCCCUGUGGGACCACCUGUGGCGAAGGCGUCUUACCAGAACGGGUUCGACGGUGAGGGACGAAAGCUGGGGGCACGAACCGGAUUAGAUACCCGGGUAGUCCCAGCCGUAAACGAUGCUCGCUAGGUGUCAGGCAUGGCGCGACCGUGUCUGGUGCCGCAGGGAAGCCGUGAAGCGAGCCACCUGGGAAGUACGGCCGCAAGGCUGAAACUUAAAGGAAUUGGCGGGGGAGCACAACAACGGGUGGAGCCUGCGGUUUAAUUGGACUCAACGCCGGACAACUCACCGGGGGCGACAGCAAUAUGUAGGCCAAGCUGAAGACUUUGCCUGAAU